AUUCACAAUUUCUUUUAUUCACACGGAAUCUGAUGUUUCCCUUAGCAGCAUAAUCGGUUCCUAGUUGAUUCGUCGCUUCAUCCUAUGAUUGGAUAUGAUAUUAUAGUUUUGGUCCUCACAUGGACGGAGAUGUUUAUGUUUAUCAUAUCACGGCUUCCUAAGAUGCUAACCGAUUGAAAGAUAAAAAGCAUAGAUUCGCGUCGCCUACUUGCUGAAAGCAAAAAUGGAAUGGCCGAUCAUGAAUUCUAUGACGUUUUUAAGACCUCACUAAUCAGCCAACCACUUUUUAGUUCAUAAUGAAUGAACCCCCGGAUGAAAAAAAAAUUUCCCCUCCCUUUUACUAAACCAUGGGGAGCCCCGAGUAGUUUACCGGACAAAUUGAGUUGUCGUGACGAUACCUUUCAACUUUACUAAACCAUGGGGAGCCCCGAGUAGUUUACCGGACAAAUUGAGUUCUCGUGACGAUACCUUUCAACGUCGGAAAAGACUUCUCUUCAUCACGAGACUGAUCGGAUGUAGCUUAGCCUUCUUCUGUUCGUGAUCAUGAAACUGUACAAUACGUGGCACAAGCGGAGACGAAAAACAUGUAUCAUACAUGGGCCUUUUCUUUUUCUGUUAUUUUGGGCUCUUAAUGAGUUUCUGGUCCCCGUUUAUCUCCUCCUACUUAUUUGUAUCCUUAGGUCUUGGCUUUGGGCAAUAACCAGAUAAAUUGAUGC
rnacentral:lncRNA from 1 species